rnacentral:rRNA from 1 species
CUUNCCUGACGCGAUGAGGGGAGGUGCAUGGCCGUCGCCAGCUCGUGCCGUGAGGUGUCCUGUUAAGUCAGGCAACGAGCGAGACCCCCGCCCCCAUUUGCUACCCCAGGGGAGACCCUGGGGGCACUAUGGGGGGACUGCCGACCGCUAAGGCGGAGGAAGGAGGGGGCAACGGCAGGUCAGCAUGCCCCUAAAUCCCCCGGGCUGCACGCGGGCUACAAUGGCGGGGACAGCGGGAUCNUGACCCCGAAAGGGGGAGGCUAAUACCCUCAAAUCCCCGCCUCAGUUGGGAUCGAGGGUCUGACAACUCGCGCCUCGUGAUACGUGGAAUCCCUAGUAACCGCGCGUCAUCAUCUGCGCGGUGAAUACGUCCCUGCUCCU